rnacentral:rRNA from 1 species
UACGGAGGGGGCAAGCGUUGUUCGGAAUUACUGGGCGUAAAGGGCGCGUAGGCGGCCUUUUACGUCGGCGGUGAAAUCCCCGGGCUCAACCCGGGAACUGCGUCCGAUACUGGAAGGCUUGAGUCCGGGAGAGGGAUGCGGAAUUCCAGGUGUAGCGGUGAAAUGCGUAGAUAUCUGGAGGAACACCGGUGGCGAAGGCGGCAUCCUGGACCGGCAUUGACGCUGAGGCGCGAAAGCCGGGGGAGCAAACGGG